UAUAUAUAUAUAUAUAAGUCAAUGUGUGUAUAUGUAUGUGUGUGUGUGUGUUCCAGCAUCACUUCCGAACAUAUCUGGAGCGAUUUUCAUGAAACUUGGUACACGUUUCUCAUUGGCCAAAUAAAAAUACUGUAGGGUGAAUUGAAAUUAAACCCCUUAUUAGGUAUCAAAAUUAUAUAAUACAAUAUUUGUAAAAUUUAGAUAUAUUUAAACUCAUAAAUUAGGAUAUAUAGAUAUCAGAACUAAAACAAUUAGUAGGAUGGGUAUUUCCUUCAAAAUAAAAGAUUUAUAGGUAGAGUAAGUGUACCCAUGCAUUUUGGAUAUGGCCUUCGGGCUAAUAUCCCCUACCCUAACCCACCCCCUUCUGGAUAGGGUGGGGGGUGAUCUUAGUGUCUUGUAUGCAUGUGAUCAUCCAGAUGACACUCGGAACGACCACCAGAGGGCAUAAUGGAGGUCUUUACGUUUGAGCGCCACCACCGCACUCCUGCCUGUUGCUUUUGAAAUUAAAUCGAGCUCUUCUCGUGCAAGUGUGUGUGUGUGUGAGACGUAGAGUCGGGGUGAGGGCUCCAGCUCCGAGGAUACGCAAGCGAGGCCAGCACACCGGUAAAAGGAAACCUCCGAAGGAACACAGUCGCUUAGCCGCUAAUGCACAAACGGUGCGAGCACGUCGGCAGCACAAAUUCUCCUAGGAGAGAGAUGCCCAGAGUAGUUCUGACGAUUUCAAUACUUUCUAGGAUCACAGUUAGUUAAGGUUGGGGGCUAGUGGAGCGUAGACUACUAAACACUACAGAGUACAAAGUGAAAGCUUAUCACGUGAUUUCUCGCCAAAGUUGCAUGAUGCGGUAAAGCAUUAUUGUGGUGAUGAGAUACAGUACAUUCAAAAAAGUGAACCAGCUGACACCGGGGACGAAAUCUUAAACCGGGGUAAAAACGGGGACAUGUUUCUGAGUGGGGACAGUUGUCCGAAAAAGGGGACUGUCCCCGGAAAACGGGGAUGGAUGGUCCCCUUAAGUUAGUAUAAAGCAGGUGACUACCAGCAGUCUUUAUGUUUGAGCACCACCACCGCGCCCCUGUUGCCUUUCAAAUGACUGUAAAUAGAGUUGGCCGGUUGGGAGCGUCAACUGGAUGAUAACAAAUAUACAAGACCGCAAGACAAGCACAUUAGUGAGUCUUUAUUGUUUGUUAAUUUAGUUUUAUUUUUAAAGUUGUGUUUUUAAAAUUUUGUUUCUCUCAAACAAUUUAAAAAAACACUUUAUUUUCCUCCCGGGCAACGCUGGGUAUUUCAGCUAGUACAUAUACUGUACUGUACUGUAUUAAGGGAUAUGAAAAGUAACAAUUUGUUGACAUGACAAAUUUUGUAUUUUCUUUAUGUCAUCUUACUUGUCUUGCUCAUUCUCAAUAAUUCAAAAUCUGACUUGCGACAACGGCAAUAUUAUUUGGUGUUUAAUAAUCACAAGAACAGCCGUUGGUAUUUCAAAAUCACACAAAAAAUCUGCAGUUCUUCCAGAUACAGUCUUUAUUAGUUAAGAAAAAAAAUCUGUUAUGUCCCGAUGUCUUUUAUUUGCCAUGUUGUUUUUUUUAUCAGAAUUUUUUUCAGUAACAUUGUAAAUUUAAUGAGAUCUUGACAAUGGGGAACGUUUGGGGAUGAAAAAAUGUUCAUGUUUUUGGACACAUGGAUUAGGUGGGUGUGAAAAUGGAUGAAUUGGUGAAUCACUCCUAUUACAAUUAAGGCCGCAACUAAUAAUCAUUGGAAGAAAUAGCUAACUUAUAUAACCUCGUUGAAUUAAUCUGAAAAAAUAUUAAUAUAUAGAUAUGCACUGUAUUACUGUAUAUUAUUUUAUGAGUAAUAGCUUAUAGUUGCAAUUGAAGACUGUGUCAUAAUUAUCAAGUAAAACUGUCAUCACCUUAUAAUUUUUUAUUAAUGCAUGCUAAAUACAAAUGAAAUACAUCUCUGCCCAGAGUUAUUUUAUAUCUAAUAUUCUUUUAAUUUUUUUACAGUUAAAUAUAUUUUAAAUAUGUGCAAUGUAACUAUUAUAUUUUUUCAUGUAAAUCUACUUGAUAAAGUACAUGCAGGCAUUUUUGUUUCUAAUAUUUUUAUCUGGAUUUACUGUAACUUUAAUAAUUUACUAUUUUUAUUUCUAUAAUGAAGUGCAUCACUGCAUUACUUAGAUCAAUAAAGUCGAUAGAAUACA